UACGAAGGGGCUAGCGUUGCUCGGAAUCACUGGGCGUAAAGCGCACGUAGGCGGAUUGUUAAGUCAGGGGUGAAAUCCUGGAGCUCAACUCCAGAACUGCCUUUGAUACUGACGGUCUUGAGUUCGGGAGAGGUGAGUGGAACUGCGAGUGUAGAGGUGAAAUUCGUAGAUAUUCGCAAGAACACCAGUGGCGAAGGCGGAGCUCACUGGCCCGAGUACCGUGACGCUGAGGUGCGAAAGCGA
rnacentral:rRNA from 1 species